rnacentral:rRNA from 1 species
GUCUGAUGUGAAAGCCCCCGGCUCAACCGGGGAGGGUCAUUGGAAACUGGGAGACUUGAGUGCAGAAGAGGAGAGUGGAAUUCCAUGUGUAGCGGUGAAAUGCGUAGAUAUAUGGAGGAACACCAGUGGCGAAGGCGGCUCUCUGGUCUGUAACUGACGCUGAGGCUCGAAAGCGUGGGGAGCAAACAGGAUUAGAUACC